rnacentral:rRNA from 1 species
UACGAGGGGGGCGAGCGUUGUUCGGAAUUAUUGGGCGUAAAGGGUGCGUAGGCGGUUUGGUAAGUCUUAUGUGAAAUCUACAGGCUCAACUUGUAGUCUGCAUGAGAAACUGCCGGGCUUGAGUAUGGGAGAGGUGAGUGGAAUUCCUGGUGUAGCGGUGAAAUGCGUAGAUAUCAGGAGGAACACCUGUGGCGAAAGCGGCUCACUGGACCAUAACUGACGCUGAGGCGCGAAAGCUAGGGGAGCAAACAGG